rfam:Amphimedon queenslandica AMPQTscaffold_13502_Cont932, whole genome shotgun sequence.
AUCUCCGUAGUCUAAUGGCAAGGACACCGGGUUUUCAACCUGAAGAUAAGAGUUUGAUUCUCUUUGGGGAUG